rnacentral:sRNA from 1 species
AUGUUUGUAGGUCAAGUUGUCAGUGAGCGACACAGUAAAUCCGACAAGAUGGGGGAUUGGGGCGAGAGAAUCACGGUGGAGGAGGUCCUUAAACUGGUGCCCCUGCAAGACAUAGAAUCUAAGUAUCCUUGGUCUACCACUAACAGUAAGCGGAGUUCUGUGAUAAGGUCGAGGGGUACAGCCGAGUGUGUGACUGUGACGACCCCGCCCCACUCACAUUCCAUCCACCUAAGGUAGGAAAUAUCACCUAGUCAUCAGCAGUUAAAAAAA